rnacentral:rRNA from 1 species
UACGUAGGGGGCAAGCGUUGUCCGGAUUUAUUGGGCGUAAAGAGCGUGUAGGCGGCCAGACAGGUCCGUUGUGAAAACUGGAGGCUCAACCUCCAGACGUCGAUGGAAACCGUCUGGCUAGAGUCCGGAAGAGGAGAGUGGAAUUCCUGGUGUAGCGGUGAAAUGCGCAGAUAUCAGGAAGAACACCCGUGGCGAAAGCGGCAUCCUGGCCUAUAACUGACACUGAGACGCGAAAGCAUGGGGAGCGAACGGG